AACCAUAGAAACCUGCGGAGUACCUGCGGAAGGAUCAUUAUAGUAUAUGGAAUCUCCAUUCUAUAAACCCACUCUGCGUAUCUUGUAACUGUUGCUUCCAUGGGACUUGGUCCCGCCACACCGGCUUCACGGCUGGUGAGCGCCCAUGGAAGGAGAAACAAAACUCUUCUUUGAAAUGUAGUCAGUCUGAACAAGUUUUUAUAAACGUUAAAACUUUUAGCAAUGGAUCUCAGAUCGGAA
rnacentral:misc_RNA from 1 species